rnacentral:sRNA from 1 species
AACCUAUUAAAGUGAAGUGGUAGCAAACAAAUAAUUAUCAUCCUGUUUAAUGGAGCUUAAUGCCAUAUUUAUAUUUUUUUUCCAGGGAAAGGAACCAAUCGAUUUUUUAUUAUUUCAAUAUCAUCCGGAGUUGUAGCGUUGUUAACCCUUGCUGUGGUUAUAAUUAUCGCUAUAGCUUUAUGUCGAAGAAGGAAACAAAUUGACCAGAGUUCAAUGAAAGAUAAAGAUGAGUUACCAUCUCCCCAGCACAAGGACGGUCAUGUCUAUCACGAAAUCUUGCAACCUGAGUAUGUGGAACUGUAUCGAGAGAGCCAGAUCCGGAGUGACCCAAACAAUUUCACUCCAAUCUAUCUUGAACUAGAGGACAGUUGCUAUACUAUGGAGUGAAACUAUGUGUUAUUGAUCGGCGAUACGAGAUGGCAUAUUUUCACACGACAUAGUUUUGAUUUCUCAGACAAACUCGAUUGUUCUGAUGCUAAAUGAAUGUCACUUUAAAACUUAAUUGAUGAUUUUCAACAGUUUAACAUUUUUUUUUAAUGAUUGUUUCUUUUUUAAUAUAAUGGAAUGACAAUGUUUUGUUAAACAUCUAAACACAAUUAGUUAAAUAGGUAAAAAACAAAAACAAAAAAAACCUUGUAUAUAUUAAGGAUCUCACUAAACCUUAGGAGAGCAAGGCCAGUACUGACCUGCUUUGAGUGGUAUAAAAGGCUGGACGAAUACCUCCCAGUGGGGCUCCCACCUAGAAAAUUAGUGGAUGGUUAGAAAUGCAGAAGAAGUAUCCAGAUGCAGUUUUUAAUGCAUCAUGCCACUAGACUAUCUGAUAAAACUGGCCUCUCCACCAACCGACAAAACAUUCAACGUUUU